rnacentral:tRNA from 1 species
GGGCCUAUAGCUCAGCUGGUUAGAGCACACGCCUGAUAAGCGUGAGGUCGGUGGUUCAAGUCCAUUUAGGCCCAC